rnacentral:misc_RNA from 1 species
GAAAUGCGAUAAGUAGUGUGAAUUGCAGAAUUCAGUGAAUCAUCGAAUCUUUGAACGCACAUUGCGCCCUUUGGUAUUCCAAAGGGCAUGCCUGUUCGAGCGUCAUUUGUACCCUCAAGCUUUGCUUGGUGUUGGGCGUCUUGUCUCUAGCUUUGCUGGAGACUCGCCUUAAAGUAAUUGGCAGCCGGCCUACUGGUUUCGGAGCGCAGCACAAGUCGCACUCUCUAUCAGCCAAGGUCUAGCAUCCAUUAAGCCUUUUUUCAACUUUUGACCUCGGAUCAGGUAGGGAUACCCGCUGAACUUAAGC